UGCCAGCAGCCGCGGUAAUACGUAGGUGGCAAGCGUUGUCCGGAUUUACUGGGUGUAAAGGGCGUGUAGGCGGGAAUACAAGUCAGAUGUGAAAUACUGUGGCUCAACCACAGAACGGCAUCUGAAACUGUAUUUCUUGAGUACUGGAGAGGAAAGCGGAAUUCCUAGUGUAGCGGUGAAAUGCGUAGAUAUUAGGAGGAACACCGGUGGCGAAGGCGGCUUUCUGGACAGUAACUGACGCUGAGACGCGAAAGCGUGGGGAGCAAACAGGAUUAGAUA
rnacentral:rRNA from 1 species